CGCGCACGCACACACACACACGUGCCGACGCAGUCCUCGAGCACGUACUCAAACAUCAGCGAGCGAGAAAAGACGCUGAGACGUCGGUGCAAGAAUAUUUCGAGGAAUUAAGAGACGGACUCGCUAAUUUCAUUGAAGAGAGAAAAGUGCGCACGUUCAAACCACUACAUGAUUUCACGGCGUGUCGAACAGGACUCAGCCUUUUCGUGUGACUUCAACAUUUGAACUUCAUAAUGUUUUCUUCUUGAUCUUCUCCAUUGAGACGCCGGUGAGGAGAAUAGCAGCUGCCUCGGUGGGUGAGUGAGUAGAGUGAUCAGACAGACAGAAGGGGCACAGGGGCCACCGGCCACUUUGUCUCAGGGGUCUCCCUUGACUAAUCAAUGACAGAGGGAAGUUGCCCUCACUUGUCCUUGCAGCCCUGCUCCGCUAUGAAGCCCAAAAUCCACCCAAGCAGCCCCCGUCAGCGGCCGACCCUUAGGAAUGGUAAGCAACUGAAAUCACCAUCAAAGGGAUUAAAACAUGACAUGAGCCUUUGUUCCACAGCUGUUGUACAAAUGACAAAGAUUACAUAACACACGUUACCCAUUGCCACCUGCAGUAAUGCGUCGCUGGAAGACUUGGCAAUUAACCACUUCAGAAGUAUUGUCACUUCAUCAACCAUGGAUGCUGCUUUCAGUUCUCAAAGUACACGCUUUCAACACACAACAAAGUCAUCUCUGUACUAAAACUCAGAAAUGAAUCCUUUAAGUGCCUCGUGCCUUGUAGGUUUACGACACUUGAGGCCCCCCGGGGUCCGGAGAGAUGUCCUAAUGUUGCCGGCAGAGACCAAAUGGCCUGUUCCCUCCACAGUAGUUGACCUCGUCUUACUCCGCCGGGGCAAGAAAGCCUCGGUGCAGUAAUGGCUCUCAGCCUGCGAGAUAAUGUCAUCUGACACGCACUGGUUUGGGAGAGGUAAUUGCACCCCACACUGUUGUAAUUUCUCAUUCAUGCAUGUUUGAAUGGUGACUUAUGCCACUAGUAAUUGCCCAAGUCCGCAGACUGCAAUCCUGCCUCAUAAUAAUCUACCUAAUGGGCGCUUUCUCUAUUUCACACUAGGAAUAUUGAAUUAAAGUUUAAAGUUUAGAUACACAGUGUUUAUUAUUUGUUCUCCAGGCAGAGUGAAGUCAUUCUUGCCUCAGUUCUUUUGAUGCGUGCACAGCCCUAAUAAUCUUCAGCGUUUUCAUUCAAAUUGAUUGUGAUUGUGACAUCAUUGUCUUGCUAAUGCAGCAGGUUAUCUGUCCAUUGUGUGAUACAUUGUCCUGCUCUUCGGUCUUUGUUUAAACAGGUGGAAAUAGCGUUUGUUGUAACCGUUCUUAGAUCUCAGAGGUGGUGUGUGUGAGCUGAUCUAAAUUGACAUGUUGUAAACCUCAGUCUGUUCGUUCCAUGAGUAAUUUUGCAAGGACUAAAGUGUGGAAUCCUUCUUACACGUCAUCCCAUUACAGCAUUGUUACAUAUCAGCGGAUCCCAGCAACAAGUACACGCAAAUGUGAAGCGCCAGACGAUUCUUUUUUUAUCAGUCUAAUGAUGGUGUUCUGCAGUAACAAACCUCCCAAAUGGCAAACAAGCAGCCUUUGCUUUUCUAAAUGACUUAGAUUUUUCAAAGACUUGAAUGGGUUUUCUGCCAUUGCCCCGCUGCAGGUAAAUGAGAGUAAAGUAAAGAGAGGAAGUCUUCAAAGUUAACCAGCAAAGACACGGCACUGUGACUCUGUGGGAGGCUACACCAUGGGAAAUUAAGAACCGAAUGUAAUGUGGUGAAAGUGACUCCCCACCUGCCUUGUAAACACUCUCCAGGCUGUAGUUAAAUGGCCUGCCGUCUGAGGGACGCAGCUCCAUGGUGCAACAGCUUCAGGUUCUGCUGUGAAACAGUCAGAUGUUCAAUUCUGGUUCACAUAUGUUGUGACAUCAAUAAAAUGAGU